GGGAUAAGCGUGCUUUUGCAGCUUCCUUUUGGACAGACUCUGCACCCUCCAGUCUCUACAGGUGCUGGGGGCUCAGAUCCAGUGUUCUACUGCAAGGCUGCAGGAUGUGCUGCUGAUGUGACGGUAGUGUUCUGUAAUGAUAAACUGGUUCAACAUGGCCUCCUCCCAGACUGCUCAGCACCGCUGCUGCUCCACACAGCGUGCCAACGUGAUGGUCGUGCUUUUGCUUCCAGCCCAGCAGGAACUGGCUGUCAAUUUGAGGGGGAUGGGGGAAACAUUCACGCAGAAGAAUGUACAGGCACUGACCCCAACUGCCUUUGGAUUUCUGUUUCUUCCCCAUCACCAACCACUUCCAACAAAGAGAAGAAAGCAGAGGGUAUCAGUCCAGGAUACAUUGCCUUAGCAGUCAUCUCCUGGCAGUAAGUAGGUAGCAUUGCCCUUGUUGCACUUGCUCUUUAUCUUUGGAAGAGACGUAGAGGACCAAACCAGCAGCCAAACAGGGAUGUUGAAGCUGCUGUUCCAGUGGAUGAUGAUGCCAUACCUCAACUAGGACAUGGACAUUAACUCAUUUCACCUCAUUUAUCAUAUUUAUCUCAUCUGCACUACCAGUCAAACAUUUACUCACCUCCUCAUUCAAUGGUUUGUCUUGUUUUAGGAAAAUAUUUUGGAAAAACUAAAAUAUUCAAGAUGCUAUGAGUUAUUUCACGAUUUAGUGUUUGAUACCUAUUCUAGAUACUUUUGAUGUCUUCAUCUUGUAUCUUCAGUGUCAAAAGUUAUAAAAAAAUAAGGAAAAACCACUGAAUGACAAAGGUGAGUCUGGACAUUUGACUGGAAGUGUACAUUUCCUCUUAACACGCUUUACAACUGUUGUGCCAUGAAAUUAAAGCCAUGAUGAAAUAAUUGAUGUCAGAGUGAAUUCUGACCAUGCAGCCGGAGGACAACUCACAAGGGGGUUGUGAGAAAGAGAGUUUCAGGCUGGGACGGCCUCUCUCGGCAGGGUGCCUCAGUCACCAUAUCAAAUAAACAGCAUCUUCAGGGCUGUGAUUAUUUUUGUUGUUGUUGCAAUUUGCUACUUAAAUAUUCGCUUACGGUGGCUCAGAGGUGUCACCACUAGUACAAACAAUUUAAUAUCAGACCAAGAUAACCCGACUAAUCAAACAUAAAAUUCACAUGAUUUAAUUCACUAAGAAAAAAAAAUCUGGUCCAGCUAGGGAAAAGUAAUAGCUCCCACUUAAAUCAUGAGUGACUGAUAAAAUUUCAGAAUGCUGAGUUCAAAUUGACUCGCCACCACUAGAGCAGAUUCCUGCCGAUCUUUAAUAGAACAUGUCUAACAACAUGAAGUCAGCUAAAAGAUCUAAAAAAAAAUAACAACAUGCCAAGGCCUGAUUUAAAAAGUUUCAAGAACUGAUGACACAAAGGUGGACAUCUAUUAGUCUGGAAAGGGUUUUAAAAGCUGUUUCUGUGGCUUUGGACUCCAGAGAACCA